rnacentral:lncRNA from 1 species
CUCCCCUUGCUUGCGCAGGAAGAUGGCGCUCAUCAAGCCACCAUCAUUCUCAGCUCACCUUGGUACGCUUUCACUCACACGUAAAUUCCACUGCGCAUG